AACCUAGCAUUUACACACAUUCUUUUUCUGUUUUCAUUUCCUCUAAGUAAGCUUCAUUUUGUGUUCUCCUGUUAGCCUGAUCUUCAUUGUCUCCUCUAUUAAGCACUAAAACAAAGUGUCCAUAUAGUUUCUGAUUUCUCCCUCCUACCAUCAGAACUGACCUGGGAGAAAUUACCUCUAAUCUAGUAGAACUGGCCAUCUAAAUCAGAUGUUUUCUAAAUUGGUUGUUACAAUUCGCUUCCAAGGAGAUUAUGCUUUCUCUGCUGGUUCAUUCAUGUAGUCUCCCUUCCUCUUCCUACUUACUAAGAGUAGCUGUGAAGCUUUGAUCUCCACUCCUCCAGCUUUUAACCUUGCUCCAGUAUUCCACCUCCUCCUUGAUGUUACAGGAGUAAGUGGCAUCCAGCUUGAAAUACUAACAUGCUCGUACAUCAUCUGGCUGUUGCUUCAGAUCCUCCUGAGCAUCUUGCCCAGAAGUGACCUCCAGAAUGCCUAUGUGCUAGUACAGAUUAAAUGUUCAGACAAAACGUGUGAGCAACAGAGGAGACUGUGCUGUAUGAAGCUGUUCUCCAAGGACAUUCUUCCACUUGUCCCUUCCACAAGAUCUGAAGAAACAUCUGGACAAGGAUUCAUCACGUGACUUUAAAUAUGCUGAUAUUUGACUUCAGUGACAUGUUCUGAUGUCCCUUCAAAAUGAAGCACCUACCAAAUGAGGAUUUAAUUUAGAUUUAUGAGUGUGUUUAUCGUCUAUUAAUGAAGUACUACAUAAUAACUCAAACCACAUUUAUUGAGGCUGUUGUGAUUAUGUAACGGGGUAUUAUGUUUCUAAUAAUUAGCUGGCACCAUUCAAUUACAUAUGAAUUAAAGCAGUUGCUGAGUUUACUGAGGAGCCAGGAGUUGUUCUUAGCAUGAUUUUGGUGUUGGCAACUUCGUGCUCAGGAGGUGAGGUUUUAUGCUAGGUGACAGCUGCCCAUACUUUUGCCUUAUGUCUUCAUACUUGGCAUGUAAAGGUCAUCCUGAAAAUGGGAGACCAAGAAAUCUGGAUAUCAGGGAUUCAGGAAUAGGGAGGUGGGGACAC
rnacentral:lncRNA from 1 species